AGAGGGACUCCAGGGUUUGCCAACCGAGUGCUGGGAUCAGACUCCCGAGGAACAGCAUGGCACAGCUGAGUUGGCUGUAGCUCUGUGGAGUAGAGCUUUGAGAGGACCAGCGAGACGGCACAGCUGGUCAAGAUGCUUGCUGCCAAGUCUAGUGACCUGGGUUCGAUACCCAGAACCCACACAUUGGAAAGAAGGAACAGGCGGACUUCGACACGUGUGCCUGGGCCGGGAGCCUGCACAAGCACACGCACGUGUGCACAUACACAUUAAUUAAUUAAAAAAUAUAAAGAGCUUCAUUUUCCUUAUUUGCAAAUGGGAGUACAGGGCUCAACACUAAGUGCCCAAUAAAUGCAAAGGCCAGAAAAUCAAGCUGACCUACUUUUUAAAUUAA